AUUGAACGCUGGCGGCAUGCCUUACACAUGCAAGUCGAACGGUAACAGGUUAAGCUGACGAGUGGCGAACGGGUGAGUAAUGUAUCGGAACGUGCCCAGUCGUGGGGGAUAACUACUCGAAAGAGUGGCUACUACCGCAUACGACCCGAGGGUGAAAGCGGGGGACCGUAAGGCCUCGCGCGAUUGGAGCGGCCGAUAUCAGAUUAGCUAGUUGGUGGGGUAAAAGCCCACCAAGGCGACGAUCUGUAGCUGGUCUGAGAGGACGACCAGCCACACUGGGACUGAGACACGGCCCAGACUCCUACGGGAGGCAGCAGUGGGGAAUAUUGGACAAUGGGGGCAACCCUGAUCCAGCCAUUCCGCGUGAGUGAAGAAGGCCUUCGGGUUGUAAAGCUCUUUCGGCAGGAACGAAACGGCGAGCUCUAACAUAGCUUGCUAAUGACGGUACCUGAAGAAGAAGCACCGGCUAACUACGUGCCAGCCGCCGCAGUAAAAC
rnacentral:rRNA from 1 species